rnacentral:lncRNA from 1 species
GGAAACCGUUCCCAACUCCUGCCUUUGGUGUCAGCUCGACAGGAUCAUGUGGCUAGACCAUGUGCUCUUGAUCCAGGCCGGGGUCACCAUCAGGGGGAUCUAAUUUCACCUCUCGUACCUGUUCUGCUUUUUGUUUCAGUGUUUCUUUGAAGGGGUGAAAUUCUCUAGGGCUAUGACACCAGAAGUCAGCAAAACUCCUCCUCAAUCAUCAGCCUGGACCAAGUUAUCGACCUGCCUGCAGUGGAAGCCAUAGAGAACGUAUUCUCCCUCAGGUAUUCCGCAAACCUGUGUCCUGCAGAGUGUGGUUGCUGUCCAACAUUUGGAUCCUUCCAGUGGCCCAGAGCUGGUAAGGAAAUUUGCCGAGAUGAGCUGGAUAUGUGUAGAAUUCCACAGCAAGGGAUUCACAGUGUUUGCACAUUGGACUGGAGUGGCUUUUUGCUACCCAGGCAGAGUUUGCGGAUGAGAGGAAAGUAAUUGCUACUUUUUUUAGUAAAAUGCUCAUCCAUUGCAAAUUGCCCCCGAAACAUCACAAGAGGAAAAAAAUAAUGACCUCCCCGUCUCUAUCGUCCUUGGCAACCAGUUCAGGUGCUUAAAAUUAAUUUUGCAAAUAAUUGCACCUUCUAACUGGCUUCUCUGUAAACAGAAAGUUAUCACCUCCAACAGCAAAGCAAACUCCCAGGACGGGAAACCAAGGCCCGGGGUCGGAUAGUCCGCAAGAAGCAGAAACAGGAUACCAAAACUGGAUUUUAGGGACUCAUCUGGAAUCCCACUUACCAGGGUCAGCUCUCAAAUACCUGCCGUGUCUCAGGUGAGCGAGAGUGCCCUCCAUGUUUACGUCCGAUCAGGAAGGCUGGGGAGAUGCUGGAGAUCCAGAAAAUGGUUCUUCCAUCCUUCUGGCGGCCUGAGAAGGACGCCAUGCUGGUGGCCCUAAAGAUGUGCUGUACCCACCCCCUUGCUGUGGCUGUUCCCCUGCUCGCUUCUGGGAA